AUUGAACGCUGGCGGCAGGCCUAACACAUGCAAGUCGAACGAGUGGCGGACGGGUGAGUAAUGUAUGGGGAACUGCCUGAUAGAGGGGGAUAACUACUGGAAACGGUAGCUAAUACCGCAUACCAUCAGAUGUGCCCAUAUGGGAUUAGCUUGUAGGUGGGGUAACGGGUCACCAAGGCGACGAUCCCUAGCUGGUCUGAGAGGAGGAUAAGCCACAGUGGGACUGAGACACGGCCCAGACUCCUACGGGAGGCAGCAGUGGUGAAUAUUGCACAAUGGGCGCAAGCCUGAUGCAGCCAUGCCGCGUGUAUGAAGAAGGCCUUAGGGUUGUAAAGUACUUUCAGCGGGGAGGCGUUACCCGCAGAAGAAGCACCGGCUAACUCCGUGCCAGCAGCCGCGGUAAUUC
rnacentral:rRNA from 1 species